GUUAGUCCAUAUGUUUGUGUUGGACAUUCAACCACCAAAAAUAAUUGUAGGAAAAGGUUAACCCUAUUUCUCUUUCAACACCCUCAUGCCGCUAGCGCUGGUGAGGAUGGUUCCUUCGGCCAUUCUGACCACCCCACCUAUUAAUGCAGCGACCACCCCUUCUGUUGCGGGCAUGCCGACCUCUCUGGUCACUCAGGGGAUGUCGGGAGCGACUAUUCCUGACACGGUCCUCUCUGAGCCGUCGUCCCCUACAGCCAGCCCGGGGAGGUCCUAGCGGUGGAAAUGGAAGUUGGUGCUUCUUCGUUGCCGCCCCACGCUCCCUUGCCUUCGGGCAUUGUGGUGACAAGUGACCAAUCUGGGCAGCAUCGACGAUACGAGAUUAGAUUCCCUACGGUCUGCGCCUUUUCGCGCGGUCGGUGGCUCGAGCGGAAGUGCUACUGGUCACCUAGUGGGAGGUGGAUCAGCUAUGUGCUAGGGCCAUCUGUUUUGAGGAGAGGGAGCACAAGUUCGAUGUUCUCAACUCCGAGGCUGACAUGGCUUCGUGAUGAGGCUGCGCGCUUGUGCAAAGAGCGCGACAACGUGUGGGGCGAUGCAAAGCGUCUUCGAGAAGCGAGGUCCCAGCUUUAGAAGGACCUUCACGAGGCUAAUCUUUUAGUUGAGGAGGUUGGGUCGAUCCUCAGGGAGGUCUUUGCUCGUCUGGAGAUGGCAAAUUUAGAGCUUUUGAGAGAGCGCAAUGCGGCCAGAGGUUAACUUUUCUUAUGUCCUUGCGCUUCAUUUAUUUGGUACUUUAAGUUAUUUGAGUUCCCUUCUUUAGCAUGGCUCCAAAAGAUGUUCCCCCGAGCCCAAGACGCCAAGAAGACGGUGGGAGAGGCAAAGACCAUGGCAGAGGACGAGGCCCAGAAGCUCUUGUUUGCCCGAGACAUCAUUGUUAUCGCGAGAGUUCAAGCGGAGGCUUCACUCUCAGAGCAGAGCACAGAGCUCCAGGCUCUCAGGGCGGCCGUGAGCACGGUGUGCGCCCACCUUUCUCCCCCUCCGCCGGUCAAAGUUGCCCUGCCCGAUUGGCUGCGGACGCUACCUGACCACGUGGAAUACGUGGUCCUUGAGGGUGUAGUCUAUGGGAGCAGUAUAGCCUUGAGGUAGAUGGCUCUCAUUUUGACGAGACCAACACGAUCGUGAUCAUGAAGGGCUUUGCCGCCGGACAGAGCGACGAGGAGCUAUAUCGUAUUGAAGAACAAAUUCACCUUCACGCCCGGUUGAUUGCAAGUUGGGUCGACGCGAAGUUCCUCCUGAUGAGCCCUUGGAGUAUGGAGCCGUCCACCGGCAUCUAAACGACGUUACAUCGUUGUCUUGUAAUAAACUUUGUUUGAAUGAUGGGGCUAAACAUAUGUUCGUGCCUUUUGGUGUGAUAUUGCUUCUUGCUUGA